UAGACUGUAAAAGACAAAGGAGAGUCAUUGAUUUUGCCAGCAGCAUUUGGAUGCAGCCAAAAUCCAGAGAGCAGCUGAAAUUCCUCAGCAAAAGGGAACCCACACGGUGUCUGAUGCCUCCUGAAUUCCAUGGCGUGCCAGGGGAAGAGGCUCUGAUGUCUCAACACGUUGACACAAAAAUUCUUCACUGUGGCUGGGAGACAAGAGUGUGAAAAAACCAGAAGGCUUUGUCACACUGGUGCCUCAUGCAGUGCAGAUCCGCUGUGUUAAACCAGGCUGGAUUACCAAGAUGAUGCAAGAGCUACAAAGGUGUCCAUCCACCAUGGCAGCAGGGAAUGAUGCUCAGCUGCGCUCAACUCACACACAGAGUCUGACUCAGGAGGACAUCUGGCAGAAUAUCAACCAUGCUGAUGAAUGGGAUCAAAAAUUCUAGUGCUUAAUUCUCAGUUCUCAGGAAUUAGUGAAGGAGACUCAUGAGAAUGUCCCAGAGAACUGUAUGGUGGCUGUGCUACACUGCUAAAUGUGUCAACAGUUGGCCUGAGGCCCCUCUGAUUUGUUCAUGGUAGUAGAGGAGAAAUUUCAGAGAAAGUGAAAUUUCAAGAGUUAUACGUAUUUGAAAAUUGAUUUUAAGUGAUGGUUCCUUCACUGGGCUAAUUUUCCUAGGUUUUUUUUCCUUAAAUAAGAUCAUUGGGAGUUUUAAGAAAUUGUUUACUACCAAUAAACCCAAAUUUGAGGCGGUUUGGGGGGAAAGA
rnacentral:lncRNA from 1 species